rnacentral:rRNA from 1 species
AGGGAAUAUUGGGCAAUGGGCGAGAGCCUGACCCAGCCAUGCCGCGUGCAGGAAGAAGGCUUUCUGAGUCGUAAACUGCUUUUGACAGGGAAGAAUAAGGUGUACGUGUACACUGAUGACGGUACCUGCAGAAUAAGCACCGGCUAACUCCGUGCCAGCAGCCGCGGUAAUACGGAGGGUGCGAGCGUUGUCCGGAUUUAUUGGGUUUAAAGGGUGCGUAGGCGGCUUUUUAAGUCUGGGGUGAAAGCCCGCUGCUCAACAGCGGAACUGCCCUGGAUACUGGAGAGCUUGAGUACAGACGAGGUUGGCGGAAUGGACGGAGUAGCGGUGAAAUGCAUAGAUACCGUCCAGAACCCCGAUUGCGAAGGCAGCUGACUAGGCUGUUACUGACGCUGAGGCACGAAAGCGUGGGGAGCGAAC